rnacentral:rRNA from 1 species
UCAGUAACACGUAGUCAACAUGCCCAGGGGACGUGGAUAACCUCGGGAAACUGAGGAUAAACCGCGAUAGGUCAUCACUUCUGGAAUGGGUAAUGACUUAAAUCUAUAUGGCCCCUGGAUUGGACUGCGGCCGAUCAGGCUGUUGGUGAGGUAAUGGCCCACCAAACCUGUAACCGGUACGGGCUCUGAGAGGAGGAGCCCGAAGAUGGGCACUGAGACAAGGGCCCAGGCCCUAUGGGGCGCAGCAGGCGCGAAACCUCUGCAAUAGGCGAAAGCUUGACAGGGUUACUCUGAGUGAUUUCCGUUAAGGAGAUCUUUUGGCACCUCUAAAAAUGGUGCAGAAUAAGGGGUGGGCAAGUCUGGUGCCAGCAGCCG